rnacentral:rRNA from 1 species
UACGGAGGGAGCGAGCGUUGUUCGGAAUUACUGGGCGUAAAGCGUGCGCAGGCGGUUUCGCAAGUCAGAAGUGAAAGCCCAGGGCUCAGCCCUGGAAUUGCUUUUGAAACUGCGAGGCUAGAGUAUCGGAGAGGUUGGCGGAAUUCCCAGUGUAGAGGUGAAAUUCGUAGAUAUUGGGAGGAACACCAGUGGCGUAAGCGGCCAACUAGACGAUUACUGACGCUCAGGCACGAAAGUAUGGGGAGCAAACAGG